GAUGAACGCUGGCGGCGUGCCUAAUACAUGCAAGUCGAGCGAACGGACGAGAAGCUUGCUUCUCUGAUGUUAGCGGCGGACGGGUGAGUAACACGUGGAUAACCUACCUAUAAGACUGGGAUAACUUCGGGAAACCGGAGCUAAUACCGGAUAAUAUUUUGAACCGCAUGGUUCAAAAGUGAAAGGCGGUCUUGCUGUCACUUAUAGAUGGAUCCGCGCUGCAUUAGCUAGUUGGUAAGGUAACGGCUUACCAAGGCAACGAUGCAUAGCCGACCUGAGAGGGUGAUCGGCCACACUGGAACUGAGACACGGUCCAGACUCCUACGGGAGGCAGCAGUAGGGAAUCUUCCGCAAUGGGCGAAAGCCUGACGGAGCAACGCCGCGUGAGUGAUGAAGGUCGUCGGAUCGUAAAACUCUGUUAUUAGGGAAGAACAUAUGUGUAAGUAACUGUGCACAUCUUGACGGUACCUAAUAAGAAAGCCACGGCUAACUACGUGC
rnacentral:rRNA from 1 species